rnacentral:tRNA from 1 species
GGUAAGAUGGCCGAGCGGUUAAGGCGUGUGACUCAAGUUUCGUACAGAAGCUUCCCUUCUCAUGGGAGAAAUCCCGCCUGGGUUCAAGUCCCAGUCUUACCA